rnacentral:misc_RNA from 1 species
UCUCCGUUGGUUAACCAGCGGAGGGAUCAUUACAGAGUUGUUAACUUCCAAACCCAUUUGAACUUACCAUUGUUGCCUCGGGUGAGCCUACCCUGUAGCUACCCUGUAGGGUGGUUACCCUGUAGCGCCCCGCCGGUGGAUUUUCAAACUCUUGUUAUUUUUAGUAAUCUGAGCGUCUUAUUUUAAAUAAGUCAAAACUUUCAACAACGGAUCUCUUGGUUCUGGCAUCGAUGAAGAACGCAGC